AGAGUUUGAUCCUGGCUCAGAACGUACGCUGGCGGCACGCCUAACACAUGCAAGUCGAACGCAGUAGCAAUACUGAGUGGCGAACGGGUGAGUAUAAUGUGGGUAUCUGCCUUUUGGUUUGGAAUAACGCGAGGAAACUUGCGCUAAUACCGGAUAAGCCCUUACGGGGAAAGCUUUAUGCGCCAAUAGAUGAGCCCACACUUGAUUAGCUAGUUGGUAAGGUAAAAGCUUACCAAGGCUACGAUCAAUAGCUGAUCUGAGAGGAUGAUCAGCCACAUUGGGACUGAGACACGGCCCAAACUCCUACGGGAGGCAGCAGUGGGGAAUCUUGCACAAUGGGGGAAACCCUGAUGCAGCGAUGCCGCGUGAGUGAAGAAGGCCUUUGGGUUGUAAAGCUCUUUCGUCGGGGAAGAAAAUGACUGUACCCGAAUAAGAAGGUCCGGCUAACUUCGUGCCAGCAGCCGCGGUAAUACGAAGGGACCUAGCGUAGUUCGGAAUUACUGGGCUUAAAGAGUACGUAGGUGGUUAAAAAAGUUGAUGGUGAAAUCCCAAGGCUUAACCUUGGAACUGCCAUCAAAACUUUUUAACUAGAGUAUGAUAGAGGUAAGUGGAAUUUCUAGUGUAGAGGUGAAAUUCGUAGAUAUUAGAAAGAACACCAAUUGCGAAGGCAGCUUUCUGGAUCAUUACUGACACUGAGGUACGAAAGCAUGGGUAGCGAAGAGGAUUAGAUACCCUCGUAGUCCAUGCCGUAAACGAUGUGUGUUAGACGUUGGAAAUUUAUUUUUCAGUGUCGCAGCAAAAGCGUUAAACACACCGCCUGGGGAGUACGACCGCAAGGUUAAAACUCAAAUGAAUUGACGGGGACCCGCACAAGUAGUGGAGCAUGUGGUUUAAUUCGAAGAUACGCGCAGAACCUUACCAACACUUGACAUGUUCGUCGCGACUCUAAGAGAUUAGAGUUUUCGGUUCGGCCGGACGAAACACAGGUGCUGCAUGGCUGUCGUCAGCUCGUGUCGUGAGAUGUUGGGUUAAGUCCCGCAACGAGCGCAACCCUCACUUUUAGUUGCUACCAUUUAGUUGGGCACUCUAAAAGAACUGCCAGUGAUAAGCUGGAGGAAGGUGGGGAUGACGUCAAGUCCUCAUGGCCCUUACGUGUUGGGCUACACACGUGCUACAAUGGCACUUACAAUGGGAUGCAAAGAGGCGACUCCUAGCGAAUCCUAAAAAGGUGCCUCAGUUCGGAUUGCACUCUGCAACUCGAGUGCAUGAAGCUGGAAUUACUAGUAAUCGUGGAUCAGCGCGCCACGGUGAAUACGUUCCCGGGUCUUGUACACACCGCCCGUCACACCAUGGAAGUUGGUUUCACCUUAAGGCAAAAUGUUAACCCUCGGGAAACAUUUGACUACGGUACGAUCAGCGACUGGGGUGAAGUCGUAACAAGGUAACC
rnacentral:rRNA from 1 species